rnacentral:rRNA from 1 species
AGAAUCAACGCUGGCGGCGUGCCUAACACAUGCAAGUCGAACGAGAAAGGGUAGCAAUACCUGAGUAAAGUGGCGCACGGGUGAGUAACACGUGACUAACCUACCUUUGAGUGGGGGAUAACCUAGGGAAACCUGGGCUAAUACCGCAUAAUACCUAUGGGUCAAGGCGAGCAAUCGCGCUUAAAGAGGGGGUCGCGGCAGAUUAGUUAGUUGGUAGGGUAAUGGCCUACCAAGACGAUGAUCUGUAUCCGGCCUGAGAGGGCGCACGGACACACUGGAACUGAAACACGGUCCAGACUCCUACGGGAGGCAGCAGUGGGAAUUUUGCGCAAUGGGGGAAACCCUGACGCAGCAACGCCGCGUGGAGGAUGAAAUAUCUUGGUAUGUAAACUCCUUUCGAUGGGGACGAUAAUGACGGUACCAUAGAAGAAGCCCCGGCUAACUUCGCGCCAGCAGCCGC